AACGAACGCUGGCGGCAUGCCUAACACAUGCAAGUCGAACGAGACCUUCGGGUCUAGUGGCGCACGGGUGCGUAACGCGGGGGAACCUGCCCUUAGGUUCGGAAGAACUCCCCGAAAGGGGUGCUAAUACCGGAUAAUGUCUUCGGACCAAAGAUUUAUCGCCUUUGGAUGGGCCCGCGUUGGAUUAGCUAGUUGGUAGGGUAAAAGCCUACCAAGGCGACGAUCCAUAGCUGGUCUGAGAGGAUGAUCAGCCACACUGGGACUGAGACACGGCCCAGACUCCUACGGGAGGCAGCAGUGGGGAAUAUUGGACAAUGGGCGAAAGCCUGAUCCAGCAAUGCCGCGUGAGUGAUGAAGGCCUUAGGGUUGUAAAGCUCUUUUACCCGGGAUGAUAAUGACAGUACCGGGAGAAUAAGCUCCGGCUAACUCCGUG
rnacentral:rRNA from 1 species